UCGAGAAUUUUUCUCAAUGGGGGAAACCCUGAAGGAGCGACGCCGCGUGGAGGAUGAAGGCUUUCGGGUUGUAAACUCCUGUCAUUUGGGAACAAGUGCCAACAAGUAACUACUGUUGGCUUGAUAGUACCAGAAGAGGAAGAGACGGCUAACUCUGUGCCAGCAGCCGCGGUAAUACAGAGGUCUCAAGCGUUGUUCGGAUUCAUUGGGCGUAAAGGGUGCGUAGGUGGCGCCGUAAGUCAGGUGUGAAAUUUCGGAGCUUAACUCCGAAACUGCAUUUGAUACUGCGGUGCUUGAGGACUGGAGAGGAGACUGGAAUUCACGGUGUAGCAGUGAAAUGCGUAGAUAUCGUGAGGAAGACCAGUGGCGAAGGCGGGUCUCUGGACAGUUCCUGACACUGAGGCACGAAGGCCAGGGGAGCAAACGG
rnacentral:rRNA from 1 species